GAUGAACGCUAGCGGCAGGCCUAAUACAUGCAAGCCGAACGGCGAGUUUGAUAGCAAUGUUGGACCUAGAGUGGCGCAAGGGUGCGUAACACGUAUGCAACCUGCCCGCGACAGGAGGAUAGCUCCCCGAAAGGGGAAUUAACCCUCCAUAACACCAUGAGAAGGCAUCUGUUUAUGGUUAAACCGCAAGGGGUCGCGGAUGGGCAUGCGGUUGAUUAGCUAGUUGGCGGGGUAAAGGCCCACCAAGGCGGUGAUCAAUAGGGGUCCGGUGAGGAGGGUCCCCCGCACUGGGACUGGGAUCCGGGCCAGACUCCUACGGGCGGCAGCAGUAGGUACUCUAGGACAAUGGUUGCAAGACUGAUCCAGCCAUGCCGCGUGCAGGAAGAAGGCCUUCUGGGUCGUAGACUGCUUUUUCCUGUGGAUAAAAUACCCGUGCGCGGGAAAUUGAAGGUAACAGGGGAAUAAGCCACGGCUAACUACGUG
rnacentral:rRNA from 1 species